rnacentral:piRNA from 1 species
GAGAAACUCGUCUUCCAGAUCUAGUUUUU